rnacentral:rRNA from 1 species
CUUUCAGUAGGAAUACUGGGUAGUCUCUGCUCCAUGAAUUGUUUUAUAUAGCCGCAGUAUCUUGACUGUGCUAAGGUAGCAUAAUAAUUUGUCUUUUAAUUGGAGGCUAGAAUGAAAGAGCUGACGACGCCCACCCUUUCUCAGUUUAUUGGUGGAAUUUGAUAUUUGCCUUAAAAAGUGCAACUUCCUGGGGGGACGAUAAGACCCUAUGAAACUUUGAUUUAGUUUACUUUAAUGUAUUUGGGAGGCUUAAGAUUUAUUGAAUUAAGCUGGGGCGGCAGCUAGGGUUCACUAGCAAAGGUAACAUGAUUUUUGAGAGUGAAGAUCUUAGUUAAGAGUUAGAAUAAGUUACUUUAGGGAUAACAGCACAAUUUUUUUGUAUAGGUCGCAUAGAAUAAAAAGACUUGUGACCUCGAUGUUGAAUUGGGGGGCCCCACUGCAGCAGAAAUCGGUGAG